CUUCAUCCAUGCUGUUGUAAAUGGCAAGAUCUCUUUCUUUUUUAAGGCUGAGUAAUAUUCUAUUGCAUAGAUGCAGCACAUCUUCUUUACCCACUCACUUGUAGAUGAUGAACAUGGGAAUGCAGAUGUGUCUUUGCGAUCCUGAUUUCAAUUUUCAGGAAAUGUACCCAGAAGUGAAAUCACUGUGUCACAUGGCAAACCUCAACUUUGAUGAAUGAUAUAUUUUACCAAGUGGAAAGAAAAGCAUGGGGUUCCUGAAGUUUAGGAUGGAGUCCCAAAGAGGCCCUCAGUCUUUGCACCUUCACCUUAGUAAACCCUGCUGACACCAUGUGGAUGAUGUCUGGACAUCAGUGGGAUACUACAUUUUGAGAGGAAAUAGGGGUAUGCUGAAAAAUUUCAAAUGACUUGUGUCUCUUAAGUCCCGGAAGUGCUAACCCAUUGCUAUUGGAAGAACGGAAAUGCCAUCUGGCCCCAGAUAUGAUAGAUACCAUGACAACACUCAGGGGGAGUGAAAGCAUAAACAGGAACUGGGGCCAGAAGAUCCUGACUUGGAGAAUGGCAAUCUGUGAGAAUGUCUGGUUUAACACUCAAAGAGUCAAAAGAAAAGCACGACGUCUACACAAUAGCCUUUUCACUUAUUGCUGGUGCCCCUCACUCUCUUUGGGAAGCUCCCCGUAUCAUGCCCAAUGGAGAAGGGAUUUGCUGAGCCUUCAUGUGCUCAUAGAACCUGUCUUAAGAUUUGCUUCAACUACGAAAAUGCUUUCACCUUUAUUCUAAUAUAAGUUGCUAUUUUUCCCCUUAGAAUGUGUAACUAUGGUUUUCGUAGACUAAAUCAUGCCAAUAAAUACUUUCACAUAUUGCCGGUAGGAGUAUAA
rnacentral:lncRNA from 13 species